UGUAUGUAAUGACUUCUGACAGCAGUGGAGACACAGUGAAGAGCAUGUCUGUCUUUGCAUGAGUAUUUCUGCAUCUAUUCUUGAGAACCACAUUCCAAUUCUGGAAUCGUUAUUAUACACGAGUCGCCACGAGCAACCGCAUGUACAGGACGCUGAACUUACCGGAGAAAGACUCCUUCCAAACAAACGGCUCUGGCUCUUCUCUUUUCUUCACCCUCCUGUCCUCCCUGGCUGUCAUGUCUUUAUUGGCAUGUCCAUGUGGUGCCUUGUGGAAUUCACGCGUGUGCUGUAACAUGGGAAGGUCCUUAAGGCUUGUGUAAAUACUCACUUAUGUUGUGUGGAGGGUGUAAGGGAAGGGUGAAGAGGAGCAGCAUCUGUUAUAGCAGCUGUCCUCAGAGGUUGUGUCCCAAUUGGCACCCUAUUCUGUAUGUCGUGCACUAUUUCUGACCAGGGCCCAUAGUGCCCUGGUCUGAAAUAGUGUACUUCAUAGACAAGAGGGUGCCAUUUGGGAUACAUUCAGCCUCUCUCUACGGGGAGUUAGUCAACACAACCACAGCGUUUCUAAAGACACCGUUCUUCUAAAGACACCGGUCAUCGCUCAUCCAUAUAUUCAUAUGGAUAUAUUCUUACUUCAUCCCUUUACUUAGAGUUGUGUGUAUUAGGUAGCUGUUGUGGAAUUGUUAGAUUACUUGUUCGAUGUUACUGCACUGUCGGAACUAGAAGCACUUCGCUACUCUCGCAAUAACAUCUGCUAACCAUGUGUAUGUAACCAAUAAAAUUUGAUUUGAUUUGAUUCACCACCUUCAGAAUGACUGGUCAUUAUUCUGUGUGAUUAAAGGUCAGUAUUCACCAUUUUGUUUCACUGGUAGUUGAACCAUAGGUUCGGCUACUUGCCUAAUGUGAUGGAUGGCAUACUAGCUCUAUUGUCUUCUUUCAUUAUCUAUCGGCCUAAACAGUAUCUUCAUGUUUCCUAUGAUUUUAAUGUAAUAUAUAAAGUUUGAAUAAUGUCUGGGAAAUAAUUGACAAUAGCUAGAAUUGGGAGAUGAAAGAAAGAAAACACUCAUAGGAAGUUAUAGCAGUUCAGUUCAGAAGUUAUAUAUAUAUAUAUAUAUAUAUAUAUAUAUAUAUAUAUAUAGUAUUAAAAUGUAUUAUGCAUUUUCCCCUGCUCAUUCAUUGGUCACGUUUCAACUUUCACGUCACUGCCCCUGAACCAAGUAGAAAAUCCCAAAAACGAAUUUGACCAAUAGGGCACUUGUCAAGGGAUGCGGAGGAACCAGUGGGGGGAACGCGAAAGACACUCAACAGUCGUAACUAUUCUAUGGGGCGUAUCGUUUACAUCGCAUUCCUCAUUCCUUUACAUCAUUUUAAAGCUGAAGAAGGCACCGAAUGCAUGCUUCAUGAGCGGAUACACCAUAACACUUUACCCAGAACGGAGUUUGUAUUUCUGAAAGGUAAAACGACGAAAACGGCUCUUCUUGCUGCUUCAUUUGUGAGUGCGGCAAAGCAAUGGGACGCAGACGUUGAAGAGUUCUCGUGAAGCCGCGACUGUUGUGAAGAUAAGUGGAGAGUUAAUUUGUGCCUUUUAACUUUUAUUGUGAGUGUAUCAAGUGACAAUCUAACAAAUUGCAAGCGAUGUGCGGUUUUCACACCUUGGGCGUAUCACGGCAAAUAAUUUGCUGAACCUCGUUCAUUCUCCAGUGGAGCGGCCUGAAUGCGAGGGAAUGGAUUUGCUUGACUACUUUUUGACACAUAUUUAAUGUAGAUACCGCUACACAAAUCCAUAUGUUGAAGUCUUAU
ensembl:lncRNA